rnacentral:rRNA from 1 species
AACGAACGCUGGCGGCAGGCCUAACACAUGCAAGUCGAGCGCACCCUUCGGGGUGAGCGGCGGACGGGUGAGUAACGCGUGGGAACGUGCCCUUCUCUGCGGAAUAGCCUCGGGAAACUGAGAGUAAUACCGCAUACGCCCUUUGGGGGAAAGAUUUAUCGGAGAAGGAUCGGCCCGCGUUGGAUUAGGUAGUUGGUGGGGUAAUGGCCCACCAAGCCGACGAUCCAUAGCUGGUUUGAGAGGAUGAUCAGCCACACUGGGACUGAGACACGGCCCAGACUCCUACGGGAGGCAGCAGUGGGGAAUCUUAGACAAUGGGGGCAACCCUGAUCUAGCCAUGCCGCGUGAGUGAUGAAGGCCUUAGGGUUGUAAAGCUCUUUCAGCUGGGAAGAUAAGGACGGUACCAGCAGAAGAAGCCCCGGCUAACUCCGU